rnacentral:rRNA from 1 species
UGCAGUCGAACGCUUUUUCUUUCWCCGGAGCUUGCAUCACCGAAAGAAAAAGAGUGUCGAACGGGUGAAUAAUACCUGRGUAACCUGCAUAUCCUACCGGGAUAACACUUGGAAACAGGUGCUAAUACCGUAUAACACUAUUUUCCGCAUGGAAUAAAGUGCAAAGGCGCUUUUGCGUCACUGAUGGAUGGACCCGCGGGGCAAUAGCUAGUUGGUGAGGUAACGGCUCACCGAGCCACGAUGCAUAGCCGACCUGAGAAGGUGAUCGGCCACWCUGGGACUGACACACGGCCCARACUCCUACGGGAGGCAGCUGUAGGGAACUUCGGCAAUGGACGAAAGUCUGACCGAGCAACGCCGCGUGAGUGAARAAGGUUGUCUGAGGUAAAACUCUGUUGUUACAGAAGAACGAGGAUGAGASUAAAACGUUCAUCCCUUGCCGGUAUCUAACCAGAAGGCCACSGUUAACCACAUUCCAUCAGCCKCRGUAAUACGUAGGUGGCUGGCKUUGUCCGGAUUUAUUGCGCGUGAMGURACCGCAGGCCGUUUCUUAARUCUGAUGUUCUAGCCCCCRGCUCAGCCRGG